rnacentral:rRNA from 1 species
UACGUAGGGGGCAAGCGUUGUCCGGAUUUAUUGGGCGUAAAGCGCGUGUAGGCGGCUUUGCAAGUCGGGUGUGAAAGCCCUCAGCUUAACUGAGGAAGUGCGCCCGAAACUGCAGAGCUUGAAUACCGGAGAGGAUGGCGGAAUUCCCCAAGUAGAGGUGAAAUUCGUAGAUAUGGGGAGGAACACCGGUGGCGAAGGCGGCCAUCUGGACGGCUAUUGACGCGUGAGACGCGAAAGCGUGGGGAGCAAACAGGAGUUAGAUACC